UAGCUAAUUCAUCCUAGCUUGUCUAGCUCACCUAGCUGGUUCAGCUUGAACUUUCUCGUUCUUCCGACUAAGUAUUUUAGUCCGUUUCUUGACCAUGGUCUAGUUUUCUCCUAAAACAACCUGGCCUCUUUAUGAACGCGGGACGCGAUCGUUACAGUGUCCCUCUUCACCGCAAAUCCAACAACCCUUCUUAGAUCUAGAUUUGGAUCUAGACUUCUUGUUGUUGUUGUUGUUGCCUCGCUGUUCAGUCCUUCCUCUUGUCUCAGUCUUUUCCUUGACAAAGAGACCUUCAGCCUGACCCUUAAUACUCUUCUUGUUAGACCCUAACUCUAGUUCCUUAGAGUAGAUAGCUGCUACAACCUCAUCUAACGAUAAAGUGACUCUUCCUAACCCAUACUUCAGAGUAUCUCUAAGUUGAUCAAACGGCUUAGGUAAUGACAUGAGUAGUAAUAUAGCUUGGUCUUCAUCAGAAACUAACACGUUCGUGUUCUCUAAAUCAGCUAUAAUACGCAAGAACUCAUCUAUAUUACCUUCUAUGCUGAGGUUUUCUGACAUCUUGAAGCUGUAAAGCUUCUGUUUUUGGUAGAUUCUGUUUGGUAGCGCCUUAGACAUGUACAGUUUGUCAAGCACGCCUAGCAUAGCAGCUGCAGACUGCUCCUUCUUAAUCUUCCUCAAGACUCUAUCAGUAACACUCAGCACAAUGGCGCUUCUCGCCUUUCUCCUUUUUUCUUCCAAGAGCUCUCGUCUCAGUACCUCUUCCUUCUCUUCUUCUUCAGUAAGCUGCAUCUCUGCAACUUUCUCCACCAAAUCGUCUUCUUCCUUAAGAGCCACACUCAGGCCUAGAAUGUCUAGAUGCGCCAUGAGCUUCUCUUUCCACAUCGUGUAAUCCCCACGACCAUCAAACUUUUCAACCUCUAUUCUUGCUGCAGACAUAGUUCAGGAUCUUUGAAUCUUUAGAGAUCCACAGAACAAUGAACCUAUGGCUCUGAUACCACUCUGUAAGGAUUUCUUGACCUCAAGCUGUCGACUUAACUUGAGAGUAAGCCCCACAAAACCAAGAACAGAAAGGACGGAUAAGAGCUUGAAUGAGAGACAGAGAAAACAGAUCAAUAGGUGAGUGUUUUUGUGUGUGAGAUAACAAGAAGAACACAGAGAGUUUGUUAACCCAGUUCACCACCGAAGUAGCUACGUCUGGGUCGAGUAUGAUACUCGGAAUCCACUAGGUUCAAUAUAGAACUUACACCUAGAAACAAUAAGUGACGCACACCAAUGCCCUUCACUAGCACUUGAUGUUCACUCUAUGUGUUUCUAGCCUUAGAGAAUACAAGAAAAGUUUAAGCUUAUUACAAGUAUUCUCUCCUUAGUCUAUAUCACUCAAUCUCACUCUACACUCUCUCAAACCUAACAAGCCUCUUAUAUAGCAACAAGAGGUAACCUAUGCAAUGACCUAAAGCAGCCGCUCCUUUCACUUUGUCGCUGAGCACAGCUCAUAGGAGUCGCCAUCACCAAAUCAAGACAAAGACUGCUUUAACCAAUUGGGAGCACCAGAGGACGAACGAGUACGGACUCCUUGCUGUCAAUGUAGCCGUUUCCCCUAUCUGUGGUCCCAAAAGCAGUUUCAUCAUGGUCUCAUUUACAUUCACCUCAGUAAAACAUUUAAACCCAAUGAGUCAUCAUCUUGAUGGGACUAGUAGCUUGAUCAUCAAGGUUUCAUCUUCACAAAACCAUAACACGUAAUAUAUGGUCCCCAAUUGAAUGAUUUAAUUAAGACCGUAAAACAUUAUUGAUUUAUGAUUUAAUAUUAUUGAUUUUUCAUGGAUCUUUUGUCUAAAAUUCUCUUUAUGAUAUUUUUUUUGAUGUUUUACUUUUGGUAUUUCAAAUUAUUCUUUAUAUAUUUUGUUUGUUUGAGCUUUGAUUCUAUUUUAAAAU
rnacentral:sRNA from 1 species